GUGAACCACAACACUCCGCUUUGCAGACUGCUAACUGUAAAACUCCAAGUACAGAGCUUCCAAACUGCAAAAUGCCAACUAAUUCGUGAAAGUUAGAGUGUUGAAUUUCUACAUUGCAAAACCCAUAAGUAUUUGUUUGUAUAUUAUUGUUCCUACAUUUAAUGAUUGUAAGCUGAAUCGUGAGCGGUUUGACUUUAAAUUUUUAAAUCUUGAGUUGUUUCAUUUUAAUUUGUAAGCUGAACCAUGAGUAUUUGUAUCUAAAAUUGUUCAACCGUGAGCAUUUGUAUCAAAAUUAUUGUAUUUUAUUUGUUUCAUUUUCCUUAACCAUGAUAACUAAUUAAUAAUAAUUAAUUUGUUGAACCGUGAUAGUUAAUUAAUAACUCAUAAUUUCUAACAUAACAAAGUGAAAUAACUCAUAAUUUCUAACAUUACCACUAGGGUCAGAUCCUAUUGCCAAUUAUAAAGCUCAAAACUGUAUCUCUAUUCUUGAAAUAAUUAAUAAUAAUAAUGCACCAAUGUAAUCUUUGUAUCAUCAUUCUGGGGGGGGGGAAAUGAUCUCUGUUGCACUUGAGGUUAAUCUUACAAGAAAACCAUUAUACUUUUUCUUCUCAACCGAACAAAUCGUAAAUUUUUUUCUCAACCGAAAAAAUUUAUAUUUGGGGACUUCAUGAGCAUUGGCUUUGUCUUUAUGCCUGAUCAUUAUUAUCAGCACCAUCAUUUUCCACUGCCUGAGUAACCCCAAAUUCAGCAGGCCUGAUAACUCGCUCAUAGAGUCUUUAUCCUGACUGCAAAAGAGGAGAACAGGAUAUAUAUACCAUAAGCAGUUCUAACCCAGCAAACAGAUUAUGAGGCUUUCACAGAAACAAAGCUUGGUCAAAAUAUUCACAUUCAAUCACACGGAAUUGAGUUCAAUUAAGCAACUGCAUAAUUCAAUUUCUAACAAAAAUAGAAACAAAGUUUUACAGUGUAUAAAUACUUUCUUCCCUUGGGUAAAAUGAUUAUCUAUGGCAAACAAAAUUAUAAGCAAUCAACGCAAUGUAUAGUUAAUAAAGGAAAAAAUUUCGACUCAGAGACUUUUUAAAGACCUAAAAGCACAAAGUCAGUCAAAUUGAUGCCACAAUUCACAGAAUGCAAAUCAUUAAAAAGCUCCACAAAGGCAAGUACCCAGAUUCUUAAAAGAACAUCAAACAAAAAAGAACCCAAAUAAGAAAUCAAACAAAUGAACUGAAAAAACAAGCGAUCCAAAUCGCUUCAGCUCACAGAUGCCAAAAAAGCUUCCCCUUUUCAAGCUUCCUUGAAAAAAUCAACGAAACGUCAUAAAACUAAGCUAAGUGUUUUUGUUUUCAGACAGAAAACUGAAGUAACUGACUUGUCGUUAGGGAGAGAGGGACAAACAGCAGCUGCGAAGAGACCCACGGUGGCUGCAGAUUUGGGGGGAGAGAGAGAGUGAGGGACAGUGGAGGAACGAGAUGUAGUGAGACGGUAGGGAGAGAGGGAGCCGAGGAUGUUGUUGCCUGGUGGGGGAGAACUGUGGUAAGAAUACCGUUCUGUGCACAGCGAGAAUACCGUUCUGUGCUCAGCAACCGAGAUAGGCACACCGAGAGAGAGCAGAUCUGGAGAGAAAAGGACAGAGAGCUCGCUGUUGUGUGUAGAUCGACAAAGAUAAGGAGAGAGAGAGCUUCGUUGUGAGCAGAUCAGGAAAGGAGGGAGAGAGAGCACUGUGUAAUGGGAUGAAAAGGCGUUCCAAUCCCGUUCCUAUAUUUUUUUUGGAUAAAAAUAUGUUUCAAUUCCGUCCCAAAAGAGAUGGGAUCCUGCAAGAUUCCAUCAUAAUUGGAAAAAAUUCUAUUCUUAAUCGGUAAUGAGACGGAAUGGGACGAAAUUUGUCAAUCCCACUCCCGUCCCGCAUAUGUAAUUGGGAUAAAAAACUGUCCCACUCCCGUCCCUAAAUUUUUUUAUGGGACAAAAAUAUGUCUCAAUCCCAUCCCAUCGGGAAAAAUUACCAUCCCUACUGUGAGUUGACGUAAAUGAGAUUUUUUGUGCGGUUGUGCCCAGGUCAAAAGAAAGGAAAUGAAAAAUGUGUUAAACGCACCGUUUUCAAUUUAAUGAAAACAAUGCGUUUUAAAUUCGGGGCGCAAAUCGGGGUUUAAUUCGGGGGAAAUAGCAACGCUCUUCAAUAAAUACUUAUAGGUUGAAAAAACAGAGUAUCAAUGACUCUUAGGUCUCAAAAGUGAUAAGCUAUCCGCAUAUUUUAAUAUUUAACACACAACAUUAAAUAAUUUGUCUAUGUACGGCAUCUUUUCUAGAAAAAAACAGAGUAAUAAAACAAAGCAGAGUAUUUAC
rnacentral:lncRNA from 1 species